AUGUCUGAAUCAGUAAAUCUGAAUGUUUACUACGGCGCUGGUAAUGUUCGAUAUAAUGAGUUGGGGGUUGAUCUUAGCGAGUUUAAAAAUGGCGUCAUGACACUAGCAGACCCGGACAGACUGGACAUUAGACAGUUGAAGUAUUGGUUGACAACUAGUUUCGGGCUGGAUCCUGAAGUAUGUUCCGUCAGUAUUCAUGCAUUGUGGACCAAAUCUUGUAAAAAUGUCAAGUGGGAGUUGAUGCCGAUAGAUAGGAGCCAGCAUUGGUUGUCCCUGUUAAGACACUGCCGAGACCGAAGAAUCCACCCUAUGCACUUGUGCAACCUGUGCCGAAGGAGGAGAAUACCGUACAACUCCACAGGGGGUAUGAACCCGGCCAAGGCAGUGAAGUGGCUAAUGAGAUUGUUUUAUCCGGGUCACAACCACAAGAUGUGGAUGCUAGCCAACCUGAGAAAGAGUCGGACUACGUGCCACACACUGUUUGUGGUCCUAAUACUGGGCAGAGUAGCCAGUCGAUAA
rnacentral:rRNA from 1 species